rnacentral:rRNA from 1 species
UUAGUUGGUGGAGUGAUUUGUCUGGUUAAUUCCGUUAACGAACGAGACCUCGACCUGCUAAAUAGUCAACAUCAUCUUUUGAUGGUGCUAUUGACUUCUUAGAGGGACUAUCGGUGUGUAGCCGAUGGAAGUUCGAGGCAAUAACAGGU